UGCAUUUGUACUGGCAGAGGCCGUCCUCGCCGCCCAGGAGGUCGAGCGCCGCGUUGAGGUAAACGUCGAUCUUGUGCACGCCGUUCCGGAUAGUUUUCAGCGUCAUCCUCCAGUCUGGGGUCUGCGGCGCCUCCUGGCUCCGGGCCGCCGGCGGCCGCGGGCCCACCCAGGCACCCGCCAUCAGCAGCGGCAGCAGCAGCAGGGCGCGGGCCAUGCCCGAGGAGCCGCGCCCCGCGCCGCCGGGCGCUCGCUAAGCCCCCGCCGCGCGGCCGCAGCGCUCCGCACGCACGGCCCGGCCCGCCGCCAUCGGCCCCGCGGGCGCCGCCCCUACGGCUGGGCGGGACUGCGAGCAGGGCGCGGCCUGUUGGAGAAGGCGGCCGGCGUCCGCUCCUGGCCCGGCGCUGCGGUGUGGGGUGCUGGGAGCGGAGCUGCUCCGGGAUCUUUCCACGUGCGAGCGAUUCGCUUUCAGGUGAGGCAGGGUGGAACCACACGGGAAUCGUUCUAAUUUCUGCAACGAAAGCCUUGUUUUAAGACGUGUGGAAUUCCUCAAAAGACGGACAGAGGGAUUUUAGGACACAGGUAACUGCAGGGGACGGGAAAUAUAAAGAACAUGGAAAGGCUUCCGGAUCUGCAGGCGGGCGCGAAAGUACCCGGGUUUCCAGACACUGGGAGACCAGUAUAUUGUUUUCUGUGAAAUGGAGAAACGCCUCUGAUCAUCCUUGUUACUUCUUUCUCAGAAAGAUGAGAGGACUGGAACUUGCAGAUACAGUCUCUAAAGCGAUAGACUGCUCUCCUCUACCAGGAAACACCAGAAAUUCCCCCUCCUGCCCCGUCAAUCUUUUGGAGCUUUCUAAAGCCCAAAGGAGCAUUAGGUAAGAAGAUCAUUCCCCUGGUGUGAUUUUCACUCUUCCUGGUCACCCACAAGCUAUACUCUUCAAAAAUCAGCUGAAGUGCACAACAGAUGAUAAACAUUUCAAGCCAGUGGUUUAUAGCACACCACAACAAUGGAACUGUGAGCAAAUUAAAAUAUAAGGGGACUUCACAGAAUCACACAGAAUGGCCUGGGUUGGAAGGGACUUCAAGGAUCAUGAAUCUCCAACCCACCCCCCUGCCCCCCCGGCACUGGCAGGGCCACCAACCUCUACAUUUAAUACUAGAGCAGGCUGCCAAGAGCCCCGUCCAGCCUAGCCUUGAACACCUCCACGGAUGGGGGAUCCACAACCUCUCUGGGCAGCCUGUUCCAGCACCUUACCACUCUCACAGUAAAGAACUUGCCCCUGACAUCCAACCUAAAUCUUCCCUCCUUCAACUUAAAACCAUUUCCCCUUGUCCUGCUAUUAUCUCCCCUUUCAAAGAAUUGACUCCCCUAACUUGGCUUAAACACCAGAAAAAUGAAAUUAAAAAAAAAAGAGUAGCAACUUGAUUUUUUUUCAAGACCUUUUUAUUGUCCCAGUUGACCCAGUUGACAUAACUAUAGCCAAUAACUACUUAGAAACAAAUAAAUCUAAAAUUGAAGAUGUGUUUCAUUGCAAGUAACAAGUAUUAAGUAUCUUCAACAAAUGUGAAAAUUAAGUGCCCUUCCCAGUCUGUUUUGUUCCCAUAUCUUGGAUGGCAGUGGGUUUGCAGUGUGGUUUCUGGUUGUUGUGGACUGCAAGGAGUGCUCCUUAUCCCUCCAUCUGACCAUCUGUCUCUAGGUGAGUGAUAACACCUAUCCUGGCAGCUCUCUGGUUAUUCCAUUGCUGGCUGAGUGCUUUUGCUCACUAAGAUGUGUGUGCAGGGGGAAUGUUGAAAUGUGAAAAAUAUGUAGCUAGACUUUGCAUAAAGAUGAGAAAGAAAUGUCAGUUGUCAGAUCGGAUUUAUCGGCUUUGAGUGCAUCCACUGAAUCAACAGAGCCAAAGUUUAAAGUUCUCGUGAAGAAAUCCUGGCCUAAGUAAAGGCAGUGGGAAUGUCGCCAGGGCUGAAUUUAUUCCGAGCCCCUCCCACCCUUUUAAGGGCUGUAUAAUCUUAAUAAAUUCUUCCUGUUCUUCUCAGGUCAGUAGAAUCCUAUGCAUUAUCUUUAGAUUUACAUACCAAACUCUGAGCCAGGCCCGGCUUGGCAUAACUCCUGUAUUGCACUAGAUGUUUCUCUUUAGCUCUGACAGAAUAGCAACAAAAGGGGCUGAUCUUUACCUACGGGUUUUUCUUGGAAAGCUCAGGCUAUGCUGAACAUGGAGCCCAUCAGGACUCCUUGAGAGGCUUUUGCCAGAAGAGAUUUUACAACAAAAGCUUUCUGAGCUGAGCCACACUUGCAGGUUGGGUUUAGCAUAGCAUCCCGAUUAAAAGAUUUUCCAAAAGGCUGUUAAUGUAAACCUCAGAUAGAACCGAUAUACAGAGGAGAAACAGCAAGAUUCACAUUUUCAAGCUGGACUAAAACAAAUGUACGAAAUGCAGAUGCUGCAAAAGGAAAUUAAAAAAGACUUUGUUUUUAUAAUAAUAAAUUGUUUUAACUGUUUGCUGUUGGUUGGUUUGUUUUUAAAAUAAGGGGAUACCACAAUAAAAUAAGUUCUUACCUGUGCUCGACAGAAAGAAAAGAGAGAGAAGCAAACCAAGAGAACUGCAACCACUCUCAUGAUGAGGUUUUAUGUCUUUGUAGAGAAAUUCCCCUGGCCGGGACUUUCCCAAUUGCCAGUCGUUAGGUUUGUGUUUAAUUUUUAACCUUUGGUAAAACACUCUGAAGUGGACUCAGAAACAACUACGGGAGCCUUAGAUAUCAACGGAUGAGUCUGCUCUCUCCACACGGAUCCCACCCCAUUUAACCUGUUUUACUGUAAAUAGAGACCAAAGGGAAGCCCUUGAAGCCAACGGUUACAAGGGAGUGCUCAGCAGGGUCUCUCGCUCCCCGCCUGCUGCCAACGCAGACCGAUGGAGCCGCGGGCCGAUCUCCUGGCAGCAGGCACCCCGCUCUGCAGGGAGCUGUUAGGGCAGGUGCGUUCUUAGGUGAGAUACGUGUGUCUGUAUGCAGGCAGGCAAACGGAACGGAUCAACUCCACUAUCUCCGUGCGAGAGCGUAACCGGCGGAGCCUUGCUCAGAGAACUGUUGGGGCAGUGGCCAAUCCACUGCAUCCCACCUGCGGGCGGUUUCCGGGAGAACCGCGGUCUCGGCCGGCACAACGGAACGGCUCCUGCGA
rnacentral:lncRNA from 1 species